rnacentral:rRNA from 1 species
GACGAACGCUGGCGGCGUGCUUAACACAUGCAAGUCACGGGGGCUCGCAAGAGCAACCGGCGAACGGGUGCGUAACACGUGAGCAAUCUGCCGAUUUCUGGGGGAUAGCCGGCCCAACGGCCGGGUAAUACCGCAUACGCUGGUUGAGAGGAGUCUCUUGGCCAGGAAACCUCCGGGGGAAAUCGAGGAGCUCGCGGCCUAUCAGCUAGUUGGCGGGGUCAAGGCCCACCAAGGCGACGACGGGUAGCUGGUCUGAGAGGAUGGCCAGCCACAUUGGGACUGAGAGACGGCCCAGACUCCUACGGGAGGCAGCAGUGGGGAAUCUUGCGCAAUGGCCGAAAGGCUGACGCAGCGACGCCGCGUGUGGGAUGACGCCUUUCGGGGUGUAAACCACUGUUGCCCGGGACGAACGACUUCUUUCGAGAAGUGUGACGGUACCGGGUGAGGAAGCACCGGCUAACUCCGUGCCAGCAGCCGC